CAUUAACGAGUUGAACGGGGUUGUAGCUGGCCUUCACGGGCAUGUGCACACCUCACUCAUCCACUCUACACCUGUGCACUUACUGUGGGUUUCGAGAGGCCGCGCUUGCGUGGUUGAUCGGGCUCACGUCUAUUACAAACUCUUCAGUAUCAGAAUGUGUAUCGCGAUGUAACGCAUCUAUAUACAACUUUCAGCAACGGAUCUCUUGGCUCUCGCAUCGAUGAAGAACGCAGCGAAAUGCGAUAAGUAAUGUGAAUUGCAGAAUUCAGUGAAUCAUCGAAUCUUUGAACGCACCUUGCGCUCCUUGGUAUUCCGAGGAGCAUGCCUGUUUGAGUGUCGUGUAAUUCUCAACCUAUAAAUCCUUGUGGUUUUUAGGCUUGGACUUGGAGGCUUUUGCUGGCUUUACCGUCGGCUCCUCUUAAAUGCAUUAGCUUGAUUCCUUGCGGAUCGGCUCUCAGUGUGAUAAUUAUCUGCGCUGUGACCGUGAAGCGUUUGGCGAGCUUCUAACCGUCUCUUUGAGACAAACACUUUGACAUCUGACCUCAAAUCAGGUAGGACUACCCGCUGAACUUAAGCAUAUCAAUA
rnacentral:rRNA from 1 species